rnacentral:rRNA from 1 species
CCUACGGGAGGCAGCAGUGGGGAAUAUUGGUCAAUGGGCGCAAGCCUGACCCAGCCACGCCGCGUGAAGGAAGAAGGCUCUCGGGUUGUAAACUUCCUUUUAUCGGGAAGAGUAGAAGACGGUACCUCUUGAAUAAGCCAUGCCUAACUACGUGCCAGCAGCUGCGGUAAUACGGAGGACGCAGGCGUUGUCCGGAUUUAGUGGGUGUAAAGGGUGUGUAGGCGGGCCGGCAAGUCAGAUGUGAAAGCCCAAGGCUCAACCGUGGAACUGCAUUUGAAACUGUUGGUCUUGAGUAUCGGAGAGGCAGGCGGAAUUCGUGGUGUAGCGGUGAAAUGCGUAGAUAUCAGGAAGAACACCAGUGGCGAAGGCAGCCUGCUGGACGACAACUGACGGUGAGGCGCGAAAGCGUGGGGAGCAAACAGGAUUAGAUACCCGGGUAGUC